ACGCUGGCGGCACGCCUAACACAUGCAAGUCGAACGAAGUAGCAAUACUUAGUGGCAGACGGGUGAGUAACAUGUAGGUAUCUGCCCUUUGGCCUGGAAUAACACGAGGAAACUUGUGCUAAUACCGGAUAAGUCUUUACGGAGAAAGCUUUAUGCACCAUUGGAUGAGCCUGCACUUGAUUAGUUUGUUGGUGGGGUAAUGGCCUACCAAGACUGUGAUCAAUAGCUGAUUUGAGAGGAUGAUCAGCCACAUUGGGACUGAGACACGGCCCAAACUCCUACGGGAGGCAGCAGUGGGGAAUCUUGCACAAUGGAGGAAACUCUGAUGCAGCGAUGCCGCGUGAGUGAAGAAGGCCCUUGGGUUGUAAAGCUCUUUCGUCGGGGAAGAAAAUGACUGUACCCGAAUAAGAAGGUCCGGCUAACUUCGUGCCAGCAGCCGCGGUAAUACGAAGGGACCUAGCGUAGUUCGGAAUUACUGGGCUUAAAGAGUUCGUAGGUGGUUGAAAAAGUUGGUGGUGAAAUCCCAGAGCUUAACUCUGGAACUGCCAUCAAAACUUUUCAGCUAGAGUAUGAUAGAGGAAAGCAGAAUUUCUAGUGUAGAGGUGAAAUUCGUAGAUAUUAGAAAGAAUACCAAUUGCGAAGGCAGCUUUCUGGAUCAUUACUGACACUGAGGAACGAAAGCAUGGGUAGCGAAGAGGAUUAGAUACCCUCGUAGUCCAUGCCGUAAACGAUGUGUGUUAGACGUUGGAAAUUUAUUUUCAGUGUCGCAGGGAAACCGAUAAACACACCGCCUGGGGAGUACGACCGCAAGGUUAAAACUCAAAUGAAUUGACGGGGACCCGCACAAGUAGUGGAGCAUGUGGUUUAAUUCGAAGAUACGCGCAGAACCUUACCAACACUUGACAUGUUCGUCGCGACUCUAAGAGAUUAGAGUUUUCGGUUCGGCCGGACGAAACACAGGUGCUGCAUGGCUGUCGUCAGCUCGUGUCGUGAGAUGUUGGGUUAAGUCCCGCAACGAGCGCAACCCUCACUUUUAGUUGCCAUCAUUAAGUUGGGCACUCUGAAAGAACUGCCAGUGAUAAGCUGGAGGAAGGUGGGGAUGACGUCAAGUCCUCAUGGCCCUUACGUGUUGGGCUACACACGUGCUACAAUGGUAUCUACAACAGGAAGCAAGACUGCGAAGUUAAGCAAAUCCCUAAAAGAUACCUCAGUUCGGAUUGCACUCUGCAACUCGAGUGCAUGAAGCUGGAAUUACUAGUAAUCGUGGAUCAGCGUGCCACGGUGAAUGCGUUCCCGGGUCUUGUACUCACCGCCCGUCA
rnacentral:rRNA from 1 species